CUGUAGGAGUAACUGAAGUGUUGAUAAAAGAGAUUCCAGAACAAAUAAAGAUUUCUACAGUAAAAGCUUGGGAGGUGGGUAGGGCUUCAGUCUCUGGGCUAACAGCUUGGCUCUACAUUCCUUGCUGGAGAAAUCCAAGCCUCACAAAAGACCGCUUUUAAAGGAGAAAACUCUUUUUUUUUUCCCUUGAAGAACUAGGACCCUGGGGAUGAACUUGCUGUGCUGGCUGCACCGCUCUGGGACGCCGGGACCUCCUCACUGAAGUUACAUGGGGGAAGAACCCAGGAGGCACCUUGACAUAGGGACCAGGACAUGAGUUCUUCUUCUGUGAGACGAGUGUUAGCCGAACCUUGGCACCUAGAUAAUUUUUUGGUGGCUGUAGGAGAGAAAGCCCUGCUCACCUCAUUCCGUGGGACAAAGUUUUUCUGCUGUCUCCAAGGAUACAGAGCCCUUCCCCAUAGAGAACAAGCAUGGAGACAGAAUGACAAGGUUAAAAAUUUCAAGUGAUCAAGGAUCAUAGAAUCCACUUUCUAACCAUCUAAAGCUUCCCAUGGAAUCAUGCUUGCAUAUGGGAUUUCCACUUAUAAGGCUCUGAGCCUUCCCCUCGAAGACACUCACUGCAUGCUUUGCUCUACUGAAUGAGGCCAAUGGCCAGAAGAUCUCAAGGUGUGGGUCUCUGGCCAUCUGCAUCAGAAUAACCUGGGGAACCUGGUACCUGUUAAAAAUGCAGAGCCUCCAAUCCAGACCUAUGGACCCACUUCUGGGGAUGAGAAAUGAUAAUCUGAAUUUUUAGUAGUUCCUCAAUUAUUGUUAUUCCUGAUGCUUAAGAAAGUUUAAGAACUGGCUCUCAGCUAAGGAAUGUUGAGGGUGGGGGCUGUCUGGUGCUAAGAAAGCCUUCAGGUCCCCAUAUGCACAAGCAGCCAUUGAUCCCUGCUCUUCUGUAUUCCCUGGUCAUUGCACAAACCCCUCUGCCUCCCCUACACCUGAACCCAUCAUCUGCC
rnacentral:lncRNA from 1 species